GAAAUGCAAUUGCAGAAGUUUUGAAACAUGUAAUAGCAGAACUGGAGAAUGCAAUGAUGAUAAGUCCACAGAAUCAAAUAGAGGUACCUCUCUUUUACUUUAACAUUAAGUAACUACUUACAUUUAGACUGUUCUGUUAAGUCUUAUUUUUGUCUGGUGUCUAUGAUGAUAUUUUUUUUAAACUGUGUCAUUUUAACCAGCAGACGUCUCGGUUAAAUAUUUAAUAUCAGUGCGUCACAUCAACAACUGUAAUUUAUAUGUCGUGUACAAGUUGUAAUUGUGUACAUGUUAUAUCAUGUACAAAUUAAUGUACAUGUUGUUACUUCUACAAUGGAAAAAUAUAAGUUAUGAAAUGUACAAAAGUACUUCGUAUUUGUUAUAACAUUCACAAAUUUUGCUUAAAAUGGAUUUGACUUGUACCAAAUUUGAAAAUAAAUAUAAUUAAAGCAGAAAAUACGUUUGAAUUUUACCGAGAGAACAAAAAUCAAAAGCUCAGAACGGGUUUUGUUUAGAGCACAAUGAUCACAAAGUUAAGGAAAUCUUGUUAUUGAUUCACGGCUUAUGUUGAAGUGUUGGUUUUCUUGUCAUUGUAUUUAGAUGCAGUCCACCAUGACCUACGUACAGCAGUGUGACUUGUUUUAUAAUUUUAUACAUUUCCUUUAUGAAAACAAAAAAGAUAAAUGGGGCAUCUGAAAGGUUUAAAAAUACUGCCUUUUAAUGUUUGUUUAUACCCCUCCCAUUCUUUUUUUUAAACAUGCAACAUUAAAGCAAAGUAUCCUAUGCAAACUCAAUAAAAGCCAUACAGAGAAAAUGGUUUUCAUUGGACCUCGUUUGAUUAUAAAUAACUUGAAAAUAAUAGAAACUGCUCUUCAAUAUUUUUGGCCUUGGGCAUAAAUCUGAUACAUCGAAUUCUUAUUUUUUCUAAUUAAUGAGAGCAUUGUAUGAGUCUAAUGUCAUUUUGAUGAAAAUUUGUAUGCUUAACUUUGAAAACAGGGUAUAGCUUGUAGAUAAAUUUGCCUUGACAUAUCAAGGAUUUGAUUGUAGAAUCUACCCUGGCUAUCCUCUUGCAUCUACGUCUCAACUAGUUUGAAAGUAUUUUACUUUUGACUUCAAAGUGGAAACUAACAAUUAUAUUUAUCAAGUGAGAAUACUGAAAAGUAUUUGUAUACUGCGUGACAUUGUGUGCUUUAAAAGAUAUUCAGUAAUUAUAAAAAAAAACAACAUGCAUACGAUCAUUAACUAUCAUUAGACUAUGACAAAAUGAAAUAAACACAAUAACGUGAAUGAACAGUAAAACAAUGAUGAAAAUAUUAUGGAGGUUGAUGAUAUGUGUUUAAUAGAACAUAGUUUUAAUUUAGAAUUAUGUAUAAGUAAUAGCCAUUUUAAGUUACAUUGUGUACAUAUACUUUUUUUACAUGUAAUAACUUGUAUUUUUGAAUUGGUCUAUUUAUAGCAUGGACAUUGUUUUUUUAAAUGUUAUAACAUGAAAAAAAUCACAACGUGUACACGACAGUAUGGUUAUUAAAUAUACUACAGUGUUGAGUAUAUUUUAUGUCUUCGAUGUCUUGUGUCCGUUAAACAUCGUAUAAGAAGAAGAUUCAUACUGAGCAAUCAAACAUAAUCUUACUAAAAGAAUAUAAUUGAACAAUCUGCAUGCAUUGAUCACCGAAGAUAAUUUUGAAGAAUAAAUUUAGAUAAGAUUUGCAAACAGAGAAAUGUUUAUUUGGAUGUAUAAUCGUAAUAUAAAAGACAAUAAUAUAAUACAACGCGUAACGUUUAAAAUGUUAUAUAGAUUUUCAUUUCUACAUUUAGAUAGUCUUAUUGACCAACCCUUCUUAUGACAUUUCGAGCCCGUACUUGACAACUAUUCAAUUCAAUAUUGAGUACGAUGGAACAUCAGCCCGAAACAUAUCAACCAGAGAAUAGAAGCUUACUUAAUCAUUAUAAGAGAAUAUACGGUGUAAGAUAAAACUAAACUCUCUUGAUAGUUAUCAUCACGAUCAUAUACAUUUUUGUAUUGUUUUUGAGCGCAGUAUCAUAAAUAUGUUAUUCUGUAGAAAAUGUUAUGACUACAAGAUCGCAAUCAACAAAAAAUAGUUCGAUUCUUCAAGAUGUAUCAAAUCCAUCUGGUACUACUACAGACAUUGAACACAAAAAUGGUAUGAUUAUAUCGUUCUAAUUUUAAACGGCAAGUUUUGUACAAAGUUUAAGCUCUUGAUUUUAUACCGACGAUCUUAUAUCUUAAAUAAGUUUCGUAGGCAACAGUUUUUUUUUAAUAAUAUAUCAAUGUAACAGAUUGCCAUAAUAUGUUCCAAUAAUGAAAGCCACCACAGAGGGGUCCCUUUGUGUCCGCGAGUUUUGCAUCAACGAAUUCAACUUUUCACUUGGAUAUUACUUUUUAUAAUAAUAUCAUGAGCCCGACAAUUUUGAUUCUUGUUGAAAUAGAAUCUGCUUAUACAUUGAGGGAAUCUAAGAUCUCCAUCUGGUUUAGGUUGAGUUCUUGUUACUCACAUGUCUGUGUAGUGUUUUAGAUACUGUUUAAAAUAUAUAUACAACAAUAAUUUGUAUGAUUGCUUAUGAUAUAUCUCUCCACCACAACAUGUUUUCCUUUUAGAGGCGUAUUCUGGAAAAUACUGGGAAACGAAGGUAAAAAGUCAAAAUGUCACAAUGUAAGAGGUAACAUUAAAACCGUUUAGAGAGGUGUUGCAAGGUUUCCGUAGCAGUCGAGAAUCAAACGAGCAGCUCUUCAUCAUGAAACAAAGAAUUUAACACAUCCAUUGCAUCCGGAAGUGACUAAUUAAUUUCACAUCCUUCCCUUUUUACAUGUUGUAACAUGUACAAAAUCAAAUCUUCUACACUAAUGUACCCCUAAUUUUGAUUUUUUUAUUCAUUAUGUCUGUUUGUUUUAUUCACGCAUCGUUAUCAAUAUGAUUGGAUUUGAUGCAACCGUCGUACAAGUGAAAGGUUUAACGCUAAAAGACUUGGUUUAAUCCAAUUUCUACAUAAAAAAAAAUUGCUUGUACUAAGUUAGGAGUGUGACAGUUGUAUUCUAUUCUUUUGAUUGAUUUGAGCUUUUGAUUUUGCCGUUUGUUUGGGGUCUUUCCGUUUUGAAUUUUCCUUGGAGUUCAGUAUUUUUUUAUUUCACUUUUUGAAGGGACGGCCAACUUAAGAAACUGCCAAAUCGAGAUAUUUCAAUCGAUGAGUUUAUUUUUAUACCUCUAUAACUCCUUGUUGCUGACAUAUAUUAUAAAUGAAAUAAAUAAGGAAAAUAAAGGGAAAUAAUUUUGAUUGAUAAGAAAUAUGUUAGACUAUUUGGGUUGGGUUGUUCUUAUGUUUCCUCAGUAACGGUCUCAACUGAGCAUACACUUAACGAAUGCGAAUGCUUGUCGUGUUUGUGCUUACACAUUCCGAACACGUAGAAAUUUGGUUAUAUUUUCAUCAAAAUCAACAUUUAUACAUGAAUAUUGUAUCAUUGGCCACUAAUGACAGAUCGAGUCGAUCAGUACCUGACAGUUGUUCAGAAUAAAGAACGAUUGAACAGCAAUCUGAAACAUAUCUCGAAUAUACUAAGUGUAGAAUCUCGUUUUAUGCUAAUACGUGUACAAACGGAAAAGGUACUAUGAUCAUGAUGUCUGUUAUUACAUUGAGAUUGUGCAACUAUUUUUUUGAGAACUGUAUUAUAGACAUGUGUUUCUGUAGUAUGACUUCGACUUGACAUAACAAGAAUUAAUCAAAUUCUUCCAGAUAUAUCAGUUCCAACUCAAACAACGACAGAAA
rnacentral:lncRNA from 1 species